GAGAGAAUCCCCUGGGGUGACUUUAAGACACAAUGUUCACCUGUCAUUUCUAGCUCAUCUGCAGAAUCCACUUGUGGUGCUUUUCACAUUCUCAGGUAGUCACAUUUCUUUUCUUGUGCCUUUCGUUUAUGAAAAAUGAAACACCCCACAGAAGGUGAACCCAGAACUCUUUAUAAAACGAAAUUCAGCGAGGUGCAGCUAGCAAAUGAAUAAUCUGCUUGCACUGCACUGCUUUCAAGCAGGCUUAAAAUAAAGCAGUUUAUAAGGCCCAAAUAGAAUUACAGUAUAACAGACUCAAAAUCCGUCUCUAAGCCCAGUGUUCAACCUAAGAGGGAAAAUUCCAGAAGGGCUGCAUGUUGAGCUGGCUCAAGGUCCGUGAAAUGCUCAAGAAAGAGAUCAUUUUCAGUACCUCCUUCCACAACCUCUCACUACUUGUUAGGUGCUUUAGCUUAUGAUCAUGCAGGGGACCUCAGAACUGAGAAUUCUUGCUAGGCACAAGGUUUAAGAAGGGAAUAUCUUAGUCUAAGUUUGAAUAUUUAAAUUAUUUUCCAGAAGUGCACUCAAAUCGGCCUACUGCAACUGAACAUAAUUCUUUAAGCUCAUGAUUGCCUAACCUGCUAAGUGCACACUCUAGCCCUCAGAGUUCCUUCCAGAUGAGCUAAGUGCUUUCCACAUGCAAAUUUCAUGAUUAGAGAUAGGCUUUUAAUGGAACAAUUCUGUAGCUCUAUGAUGUAUAAAAACACUGGAGAAGAGGGGACCACCUUCUUACAACCUGGGACCGUUGAAAGGUUGCCAACCUCUUUAGCAGAGAAAAGUCUAAAAUGCCAAAAAAAAAAAAAAAAAAAAAAAAUCACAGCUACUAGUGGUCACCUGCUUGAUUGAACCAAACACUCACUCCCUUUUUGUUCCGAAGUCCCCCUCCCAGACUAGGUCUGUUCAACUUAGGCCCUCCUAAUUAGAUGUCCUGCUUUUCAGAGCUCUCCACUCCAUCCACUCUGCAUGCCAUUGAAAGAUAAGUCUUUAAUCCAGUGCCUAAUUUCUCAUUGCUUUGUCAUGUGAGGUUUGCUUUCCUGACACAUUCAGAAUAUCUUGAAGACUGACCAGGAUCAUGAUUUAGACACUUUUUCCCCAAGCUCUUCAAGUUAUCCAGUAUAGUGCUUAUGAAUAGAGCAUGGAAUAUGUAAAUGAUAGAGGCCCAAGGGAAGCAGGAAGCUUCAAGAUGAGGCCUUUGGUCUUCACAGAGAGCAGAGGAGAUGUCUUAGUGAAAAAGAAAACAGCCAAAAGGAAAGUGAGUCAUCUGCUAAGAACCAUUCAUCCACUCAUCCACCAAAGACUUAAUGAGCAUGUGUCGUGAGGCAGAGUCACCCAAUACCAAAUAGAUUAUAUUCUCAUUCUAAGAACAGUAAGAAUUCCUAGCAUUUGAAGGUAUUCAUAAGACACCUUCCCUUUGCUCUUUUUAUGUUACAUGGAUUCUCAAGAAUAAAACUAGUGAUCACGGGAGAAAUGCAGUUACAGUUUGAUGUAAAUGAACCAGAAAGUGCUUGCUCUGAGCAGUUGCUCACAGAGAGAGGAAGCAUCUUAUUAACUUUGCUGAUGGCCCUUUCCAACAUUGUCCAGGGUGUGACACAUGAGCCGAUAAAGUGGAUAAAAGCAGAGUGAUGGCUCAAGAAGUGAGUUUAGACCAGGCCUGGGAUGAGCACCAGGCCCACACAUGUUCUCAUUAGUGGUCUCAAAAUUUCACCAGCUCCCUGAUAUGAAGAAUGCCUAGUUCAUACAAAUCACAUUGUGUAUAUUCUGAAUUUCAAGACAAACAUUUGCAUCUAACUUUCCUGUUGGCAAAGUAGACCAAGAUCAUUUUACAAAUGUGGGCUUCAUUCUCCAGGUGGUCUUUUGCUACUCUUCUAAAUUUCCAAAUUUAAAAAAUGCACAUAUUGUUAAGGUGAAACACUUGCAUUGAGUGGACACAACUACUGUUAACUUUUUUUUUUUUUGAGAUGGAGUUUCACUCUUGUUGCCCAGGCUGAGGUGCAAUGACAUGAUCUCGGCUCACUGCAACCUCUGCCUCCCGGGUUCAAGCAAGUCUCCUGCCUCAGCCUCCUAAGUAGCUGGGAUUACAGGCAUGUAC
rnacentral:lncRNA from 1 species